rnacentral:rRNA from 1 species
GACGAACGCUGGCGGCGUGCUUAACACAUGCAAGUCGAACGGAAAGGCCCUGCUUUUGUGGGGUGCUCGAGUGGCGAACGGGUGAGUAACACGUGAGUAACCUGCCCUUGACUUUGGGAUAACUUCAGGAAACUGGGGCUAAUACCGGAUAGGAGCUCCUGCUGCAUGGUGGGGGUUGGAAAGUUUCGGCGGUUGGGGAUGGACUCGCGGCUUAUCAGCUUGUUGGUGGGGUAGUGGCUUACCAAGGCUUUGACGGGUAGCCGGCCUGAGAGGGUGACCGGCCACAUUGGGACUGAGAUACGGCCCAGACUCCUACGGGAGGCAGCAGUGGGGAAUAUUGCACAAUGGGCGGAAGCCUGAUGCAGCAACGCCGCGUGCGGGAUGACGGCCUUCGGGUUGUAAACCGCUUUCGCCUGUGACGAAGCGUGAGUGACGGUAAUGGGUAAAGAAGCACCGGCUAACUACGUGCCAGCAGCCGCGGUGAUACGUAGGGUGCGAGCGUUGUCCGGAUUUAUUGGGCGUAAAGGGCUCGUAGGUGGUUGAUCGCGUCGGAAGUGUAAUCUUGGGGCUUAACCCUGAGCGUGCUUUCGAUACGGGUUGACUUGAGGAAGGUAGGGGAGAAUGGAAUUCCUGGUGGAGCGGUGGAAUGCGCAAAUAUCAGGAGGAACACCAGUGGCGAAGGCGGUUCUCUGGGCCUUUCCUGACGCUGAGGAGCGAAAGCGUGGGGAGCGAACAGGCUUAGAUACCCUGGUAGUCCACGCUGUAAACGGUGGGUACUAGGUGUGGGGUCCAUUCCACGGGUUCCGUGCCGUAGCUAACGCUUUAAGUACCCCGCCUGGGGAGUACGGCCGCAAGGCUAAAACUCAAAGGAAUUGACGGGGCCCCGCACAAGCGGCGGAGCAUGCGGAUUAAUUCGAUGCAACGCGUAGAACCUUACCUGGGUUUGACGUGGAUCGGGAGUGCUCAGAGAUGGGUGUGCCUCUUUUGGGGUCGGUUCACAGGUGGUGCAUGGCUGUCGUCAGCUCGUGUCGUGAGAUGUUGGGUUAAGUCCCGCAACGAGCGCAACCCUUGUUCACUGUUGCCAGCACGUUAUGGUGGGGACUCAGUGGAGACCGCCGGGGUCAACUCGGAGGAAGGUGGGGAUGACGUCAAGUCAUCAUGCCCCUUAUGUCCAGGGCUUCACGCAUGCUACAAUGGCUGGUACAGAGAGUGGCGAGCCUGUGAGGGUGAGCGAAUCUCGGAAAGCCGGUCUCAGUUCGGAUUGGGGUCUGCAACUCGACCUCAUGAAGUCGGAGUCGCUAGUAAUCGCAGAUCAGCAACGCUGCGGUGAAUACGUUCCCGGGGCU